rnacentral:RNase_P_RNA from 1 species
GCAGUCCAGACGGUCGCCGGCGCGGGAGGGAUCCCGCGCGGGAGGAAAGUCCGGGCUCCGAAGGGCAAGGAUGCCGGCUAACGGCCGGUGGGAGCGAUCCUAAGGAAAGUGCAACAGAAAAUAACCGCCGCAAACAGCGGCAAGGGUGAAAAGGCAGGGUAAGAGCCUACCGGGCGUCUGGUAACAGCCGCCGUCAGUGUAAACCCCAUCCGGAGCAAGACCAGUUUAGGGAGGCGUUUCCGAAAGGAUAAUGCCUGAAAGGGGGCUGCCCGUCCCUUCCCGGGAGGUAGGUCGCUCGAGACCUGCGGCAACGCAGGCCCUAGAAAGAUGACCGUCCACGACAGAACCCGGCUUACGGGCUG